GCUAGGCACGGUGGUGCACGCCUGUAGUCCCAUCAGCUCAGGAGGCUGAGACAGGAGGAUCGCAAAUUCAAAGUCAGCCUCAGCAAAAGCGAGAUGCUAAGCAACUCAGUGAGACCCUGUCUCUA
rnacentral:sRNA from 1 species